rnacentral:rRNA from 1 species
GACGAACGCUGGCGGCGUGCCUAAUACAUGCAAGUCGAACGCAGUGGGGACGGGUGAGUAACACGUGGGUAACCUACCAUCAGAGGGGAUAACACUUGGAAACCGGUGCUAACCCGAAAUUGAUGGAUGGACCCGCGGUGCAUUAGGUAGUUGGGGAGGUAACGGCUCACCAAGGCCACGAUGCAUAGCCGACCUGAGAGGGGGAGCGGCCAAACUGGUACUGAGACACGGCCCAGACUCCUACGGGAGGCAGCAGUAGGGAAUCUUCGGUAAGGGAAGAAAGUCUGACCGAGCAACGCCGCGUGAGUGAAGAAGGUUUGCGGAUCGUAAAACUCUGUUGUUAGAGAAGCGUUAUCUAACCAGAAAGCCACGGCUAACUACGUGCCAGCAGCCGCGGUAAUUC